rnacentral:rRNA from 1 species
UUUGGGGGUACUCGAGUGGCGAACGGGUGAGUAACACGUGGGUAACCUGCCCUUGACUUCGGGAUAACUUCAGGAAACUGGGGCUAAUACCGGAUAGGAAUCCUUGCUGCAUGGUGGGGGUUGGAAAGCUUCGGCGGUUUUGGAUGGACUCGCGGCUUAUCAGCUUGUUGGUGGGGUAGUGGCUUACCAAGGCUUUGACGGGUAGCCGGCCUGAGAGGGCGACCGGCCACAUUGGGACUGAGAUACGGCCCAG